rnacentral:rRNA from 1 species
UACGAAGGGGGCUAGCGUUGUUCGGAAUUACUGGGCGUAAAGCGCACGUAGGCGGAUAUUUAAGUCAGGGGUGAAAUCCCAGAGCUCAACUCUGGAACUGCCUUUGAUACUGGGUAUCUUGAGUAUGGAAGAGGUAAGUGGAAUUCCGGGUGUAGCGGUGAAAUGCGUAGAUAUCCGGAGGAACACCGGUGGCGAAGGCGGCUUCCUGGACCGACACUGACGCUGAGGCGCGAAAGCUAGGGGAGCAAACGGG